ensembl:lncRNA
CCUGGGCACAGCUGAGGCUAAGAUUCGGAGAGAGCAAAUCUAGCCGGAGCCCAAAGGGAGGAAUGCCAGGGAAUUUCUGAAGUGGCUUAUUUCCCAGGGUUAUUGUGAAGUAAGUGAGACAAUAUAUAUAUAAAUGCUUUCUUUAUUGUAAAGGGUGAAAUAGUUCAGUGGUUUAGGGCACAGAUUCUGCAAUCAAGUUCCCUGAGUUUAAAUCUUGGCUCUGUUGCUUUUCUGGCUGGGUGACCUCAGAUGAGGACACUGAGGAGGAGAAGGGUUGAGUACCCUGGUCAAGAUCUCAGAGGUGACAUAUGGCAGAGCCCAGUCAGGUCUAAACCCAAGACUGAUUGUCUUCCAACUGGCAAGUCUACAGCUUUAAUCUCAAUGCACAGCCAUAUUUAAGAUCAUGUAACGACCUUUACAUGGCUUUAUAUGGCUUCUUUGCUUUCUCAAAGUCAAAGGUAAUUUCUCCUGCAAGGAUUCUUCUAAGUAAGACACACUCUGCACCUGGCUUCUCUUUUUUCUUCUUUACCUGGGGAUGAGCCAAAAAAUACAGAAUAAACUGAUUGCAAAAUACUGAGAAAGUGUAGCUUAGAAUGAAAGGGGGUUGUGGCAACAUGAGAGGAUCUAGGCGGGCUGGGUGUUGCUCAAGAUGUAAGGCAGAUUUGAGAGCACUGAAGAGUUUCACAAAGUCUCGCUACAACUGAAUAGCUUUUUAUGAUUGCUAGAAAAGCUUAUCUGAUUAAAAAAGGAGCUGUGGGAGUUGGGAAGACAAGUAACAACCAUCUUUCAGAGUCUCCAGGACUGAACACUAUGUAGGCCCACAAUUCAUAAUGCAAAACAUCACUACAUUCGUAAUCAAAAACAAAUUUUGAUUGAUACAGGAAGAGUUCUGUAGUUUUACAGACAUGGAUCAAUUGAUCCCAGAACAUUUUUCUCAGUAGUCUCCCACCCUGAAUGUUACAGCUUAAUCAUACACACUUAAAGGAGAUUUGAGGAGUCCACCAGAGGCCCUUUGCAUCUCUUUUUGUGGGAAGAGUGGAGCUCAAACUCCAGUUGAGUUCCAGUGGUUCAACUGCUCAACUAAUUGAAGUAGUAAAAUCAAGCUAUGGCUUUGGGAAUUUGUCAUGCUCUUCAUCACUUCUCUUCACAUGCUGCCCAGGAAAGCAUAUACUCACAGGGAAAACAGUAUACUUUCUGUGAAAAUGCAGCUUCUAAUUAAUCUUUCACUCAAGUAGUGUGAAUUGGCUCUCAGAAAACAAAGACAAAACAAAAGGAACUCUGCUUUGUAGUGUUUGCUAAUAUUUGUCAUACGAAUACCUCUGUUAUGGCUGAUUACAAGGGUGUCUGUAUUUAACAACUGGCUAGCAACAUUUCAGACUGGCAAAAUUCCCAGUACAAGAUGGCUUUGGAGCAUCUCUGACCCUCCUAAGCCAGGCGUAGGUAGAAAUUCUGGAGCCAACAUCACCAAAGAUGAAUGCAGAACACUCUCUCCUCUAAGAUAUUCGUGGAAUCAUGGAAUGAAGACCCAGAAUUGGUGUCUCUCAGGCCAGCAACAUUUGAUUCUACUUUUUUCUGCCAGCUUUAUUGAGGAGUUUUAUGGCUGCAGGACUUUUAUGGUUCAAGGCUUUAAUCCAUUUUCAGUUAAGUUUUGUGUAUGGUAGAAGAUAGGAGUCCAGUUUCAUCCUUUUGAAUGUGGAUGUCAAGUUUUUCCGGCACCAUUUAUUGAAGAGACUAUCCUUUCCCCCUUGUGUAUCUGUGGCACCUUUGUCAAAAAAUAAUUGACCAUAUUUGAAUGACUGUAUUUAUUUUUGAACGUUUUCUCGAAGGAGC